rnacentral:rRNA from 1 species
CCCCCGCUUCGGUGGGGUGUUCUAGUGGCGAACGGGUGAGUAACACGUGGGCAACCUGCCCCCGGCUCUGGGAUAACUCCAAGAAAUUGGGGCUAAUACCGGAUAUGACCGCUGACCGCAUGGUCUGGUGGUGGAAAGAUUUAUCGGCUGGGGAUGGGCCCGCGGCCUAUCAGCUUGUUGGUGGGGUAGUGGCCUACCAAGGCGACGACGGGUAGCCGGCCUGAGAGGGUGACCGGCCACACUGGGACUGAGACACGGCCCAGACUCCUACGGGAGGCAGCAGUGGGGAAUAUUGCGCAAUGGGCGAAAGCCUGACGCAGCGACGCCGCGUGGGGGAUGACGGCCUUCGGGUUGUAAACCUCUUUCAGCAGGGACGAAGCGCAAGUGACGGUACCUGCAGAAGAAGCACCGGCCAACUACGUGCCAGCAGCCGCGGUAAUACGUAGGGUGCAAGCGUUGUCCGGAAUUAUUGGGCGUAAAGAGCUCGUAGGCGGUCUGUCGCGUCGGCUGUGAAAUCCCGAGGCUCAACCUCGGGUCUGCAGUCGAUACGGGCAAACUGGAGUGUUGCAGGGGAGACUGGAAUUCCUGGUGUAGCGGUGAAAUGCGCAGAUAUC